rnacentral:rRNA from 1 species
AGAGUUUGAUCCUGGCUCAGGACGAACGCUGGCGGCGUGCCUAAUACAUGCAAGUCGAGCGAGCUUGCCUAGAUGAUUUUAGUGCUUGCACUAAAUGAAACUAGAUACAAGCGAGCGGCGGACGGGUGAGUAACACGUGGGUAACCUGCCCAAGAGACUGGGAUAACACCUGGAAACAGAUGCUAAUACCGGAUAACAACACUAGACGCAUGUCUAGAGUUUGAAAGAUGGUUCUGCUAUCACUCUUGGAUGGACCUGCGGUGCAUUAGCUAGUUGGUAAGGUAACGGCUUACCAAGGCAAUGAUGCAUAGCCGAGUUGAGAGACUGAUCGGCCACAUUGGGACUGAGACACGGCCCAAACUCCUACGGGAGGCAGCAGUAGGGAAUCUUCCACAAUGGACGAAAGUCUGAUGGAGCAACGCCGCGUGAGUGAAGAAGGGUUUCGGCUCGUAAAGCUCUGUUGGUAGUGAAGAAAGAUAGAGGUAGUAACUGGCCUUUAUUUGACGGUAAUUACUUAGAAAGUCACGGCUAACUACGUGCCAGCAGCCGCGGUAAUACGUAGGUGGCAAGCGUUGUCCGGAUUUAUUGGGCGUAAAGCGAGUGCAGGCGGUUCAAUAAGUCUGAUGUGAAAGCCUUCGGCUCAACCGGAGAAUUGCAUCAGAAACUGUUGAACUUGAGUGCAGAAGAGGAGAGUGGAACUCCAUGUGUAGCGGUGGAAUGCGUAGAUAUAUGGAAGAACACCAGUGGCGAAGGCGGCUCUCUGGUCUGCAACUGACGCUGAGGCUCGAAAGCAUGGGUAGCGAACAGGAUUAGAUACCCUGGUAGUCCAUGCCGUAAACGAUGAGUGCUAAGUGUUGGGAGGUUUCCGCCUCUCAGUGCUGCAGCU